CAGCGGGGUCGGGGUCAUCCCUGGGUCGGGGUCUGGGCUCCUCCCCGGGUCUCCUGCCCCCUGGGCAGCCCGCGUGUUAGAGGACGAGGGGCCUGUGGGCCGGCGGGGCAGGGGCCGGGCUGCCAUCCCCACCCCCACCCCAUCCGGGAGGGCCGGGACUGCCGGCGGCUGACAGGUGUCCGCUUGGGGGCCGGCACGGGGUUUGCAGCCCAGCUGCAACUUUAUUACACCACCCCAGCAAGACACAGCAGAGAAGAGAAAAUGAAGAGACUGAAAGGUUGCUAUGCCUUGGAGGAAGACAUGAACUGAUUGUUAGGGGUAGUGUAGUAAUCAGCACAGAAAAUAACGUGGUGAGAAGGGAUUUAACCUGAAAAUUGGUAAGCAAAAUACAGCACCAGUAGGCCUCUAAGGAGUAUAUUGGUGCUUGACUAUCCUCUUAGUUAUCAGGGACAUUCAUGAUUACAAAUAAUCUUGGCAUGUAAAAGCAUCACUGGAAUGUGCCAGUGAUAAUGUGUUAAAUAAUAAAAUGUUUUAAAUGUUA